rnacentral:tRNA from 3 species
GCGCCCGUAGCUCAGCCGGAUAGAGCACUUGAUUCCUAAUCAAGGGGUCGCAGGUUCGAGUCCUGCCGGGCGCGCCA